ACACUACUGAGGAGUCCCACAAUAGGACGAAACGGCCGUUCAAUGC
rnacentral:hammerhead_ribozyme from 1 species